rnacentral:rRNA from 1 species
GGGACUGCGCGUGCUUACACAUGCAAGUCGUACGAGAAAUCCUUAGCUUGCUAGGGAGAGUAAAGUGGCGCACGGGUGAGUAACGCGUGGGUAAUCUACCCUUGGAUUCAGGAUAACAUUUCGAAAGGGGUGCUAAUACUGGAUAACAUCUUUUUGGUUUAGGCCGGAAGGAUCAAAGAUAGCCUCUACAUGUAAGCUAUUGUUUGAGGAUGAGCCCGCGUACCAUUAGCUAGUUGGUGGGGUAAGAGCCUACCAAGGCGACGAUGGUUAGCUGGUCUGAGAGGAUGAUCAGCCACACUGGAACUGAAACACGGUCCAGACUCCUACGGGAGGCAGCAGUGAGGAAUUUUGCGCAAUGGGGGAAACCCUGACGCAGCAACGCCGCGUGAGUGAAGAAGGCUUUCGGGUCGUAAAGCUCUGUCAAGAGGGAAGAAAGUGGAAGGUGGUAAUACUGCGUUCUAUUGACGGUACCUCUGAAGGAAGCACCGGCUAACUCCGUGCCAGCAGCCGCGGUAAUACGGGGGGUGCAAGCGUUAUUCGGAUUUAUUGGGCGUAAAGAGCGCGUAGGCGGUUUAUCAAGUCAGAUGUGAAAGCCCUGGGCUCAACCUGGGAAGUGCAUUUGAAACUAGUAGACUUGAGUAUGGGAGAGGGGAGUGGAAUUCCUGGUGUAGAGGUGAAAUUCGUAGAUAUCAGGAGGAACACCGGUGGCGAAGGCGACUUCCUGGACCAAUACUGACGCUGAGGCGCGAAGGCGUGGGGAGCAAACAGGAUUAGAUACCCUGGUAGUCCACGCAGUAAACGGUGAUCACUAGGUGUAGCGGGUAUUGACCCCUGCUGUGCCGCAGUUAACGCAUUAAGUGAUCCGCCUGGGGAGUACGAUCGCAAGGUUAAAACUCAAAGGAAUUGACGGGGCCCGCACAAGCGGUGGAGCAUGUGGUUUAAUUCGACGCAACGCGAAGAACCUUACCUGGACUUGACAUCUGAGGAUCCUUAUGAAAGUAGGAGUGCCCUUCGGGAGCUCAGACAGUGCUGCAUGCUGU